GAGAUAUUAGUAAAGUCUAUUACACCACCUUGUCAAGGUGAAAUCGCAGGUUAAACCCCUACAUGUCUUU
rnacentral:tRNA from 1 species